GAUGAACGCUGGCGGCGUGCCUAAUACAUGCAAGUAGAACGCUGAAGGAAGGAGCUUGCUCUUUCCGGAUGAGUUGCGAACGGGUGAGUAACGCGUAGGUAACCUGCCUGGUAGCGGGGGAUGACUAUUGGAAACGAUAGCUAAUACCGCAUAACAGUAGAUGUUGCAUGAUAUCUACUUAAAAGGUGCAAUUGCACCACUACCAGAUGGACCUGCGUUGUAUUAGCUAGUUGGUGAGGUAACGGCUCACCAAGGCGACGAUACAUAGCCGACCUGAGAGGGUGAUCGGCCACACUGGGACUGAGACACGGCCCAGACUCUUACGGGAGGCAGCAGUAGGGAAUCUUCGGCAAUGGACGGAAGUCUGACCGAGCAACGCCGCGUGAGUGAAGAAGGUUUUCGGAUCGUAAAGCUCUGUUGUAAGAGAAGAACGAGUGUGAGAGUGGAAAGUUCACACUGUGACGGUAUCUUACCAGAAAGGGACGGCUAACUACGUG
rnacentral:rRNA from 1 species